GACGAACGCUGGCGGCGUGCCUAAUACAUGCAAGUCGAACGAACUCUGGUAUUGAUUGGUGGUUGCAUCAUGAUUUACAUUUAAGUGAGUGGCGAACUGGUGAGUAACACGUGGGAAACCUGCCCAGAAGCGGGGGAUAACACCUGGAAACAGAUGCUAAUACCGCAUAACAACUUGGACCGCAUGGUCCGAGCUUGAAAGAUGGCUUCGGCUAUC
rnacentral:rRNA from 1 species